rnacentral:rRNA from 1 species
GACGAACGCUGGCGGCGUGCCUAAUACAUGCAAGUCGAGCGAACUUGCGGGAGCUUGCUCCCAAAAGUUAGCGGCGGACGGGUGAGUAACACGUGGGCAACCUGCCUAUAAGACUGGGAUAACUUCGGGAAACCGAGGCUAAUACCGGAUAAUCCUUUUCCUCACAUGAGGGAAAGCUGAAAGACGGCGUAAGCUGUCACUUACAGAUGGGCCCGCGGCGCAUUAGCUAGUUGGUGAGGUAACGGCUCACCAAGGCAACGAUGCGUAGCCGACCUGAGAGGGUGAUCGGCCACACUGGGACUGAGACACGGCCCAGACUCCUACGGGAGGCAG